GAUUAUUUAUUUAUUUAUUUUCUGUUUACCUUUCUUUUGUCGUCUACAGGAGCUACCGGUCUGGCUCAGGAGCGAUCCCGAGUCGCCUGUAGUAUCAAGGUCAAGAUCAUCAAGAUCACACUGUCCAGUAGGCAAUAGCUGUGAGGCUGUCGCGGUGUGAGUUGUCAUCCAACUCGAUAUGCGAGGUGGUGAUUGAGUGGCAUGACGUGACAGAUGAGGCAACAAAAGAAGAUGCUUUGUGGAUACCGCCAGCAGAUGUGAUUCGUAGUUCGAAAUGCAAGUGUGUACUCCAAGAACAAAACACUGUCACCCGUACCGGCGUAGAAAAGUUGUUAGAUUGUGGAAGUCAGUAGUGGCUGGUGCUGUGACGCUAACAUUUGUAGUAUGUGUUGUAGUGCCUCUUGUCUUCCACUAUUCACCGGGUCUACAGCGAUUCUUUUUGUUCCUUAACACAGUUACUACACCAAUAAGCCUCAAUAGGCCUGAAGAUGUGGGCCUUCCUGGAAGUCGUAAUUUUUAUCUUAAGACAGACAAAGAUGUUACUAUUGGAAUAUGGCAUAUACUGCCAAGCUCACUUAUUCACUCAGUCCCUGAUGAUGUGAGAGAGUGGGCAGUCUGGUAUGAAAGCAGUCUGAAGCAGCAGCAGCCAAUCAUUUUGUAUUUACAUGGUAACAAAGGAUCCAGAGCGGAGAGUCACAGAGUUGAAUUGUAUAAUAAACUUCGAAGAAUGGAUUACCAUGUUAUUGCACUUGAUUACAGAGGUUAUGGGGAUUCUUCCCCCGUGGCACCAUCUGAAGAAGGUUUGGUGGCAGAUACAAAAGCUGUGUUUAGAUAUCUUCGUGAUAAGUCAGGAAACUCCCCUCUCUUUGUGUGGGGACAUUCUCUUGGUACUGGUGUGUCUUGCCAUGCUCUGUCUGAACUUUGUCAAGCGAAUGAGUGUCCGCAGGGUCUGGUGCUGGAAGCUCCUUUUAACAAUUUACAUGAUGAAAUCAGACUUAAUCCCCUGUCUCAGGUCUUCCAUAGUUUGCCAUAUUUUGACUGGGCUUUCAUCGAUCCUAUACGAGAUUCUGGGAAUGAGUUUAAGAGUGAUAGUCACAUCAUGUAUAUUCCAUGUCCAGUUUUGAUCCUUCAUGCCCAAGAUGAUGUAGUUGUGCCAAUUGAACUGGGAAGAAGGCUUUAUAAGGCGGCUAAGGAUUCACGUCUCCCAGAUGCCAUGCCAGUCACAUUCGUUGAGCUGGAGGCAGAAUAUGGCUUUGGCCACCUAGACAUUCCUCAUGCACCAAACUUUUUGUCUAUUAUUAGGAAGUUUGUGGAUAAACCAGAAGCAAAACUUUUUAGUUGAAGUUUAUUUUGUGAUGCUGGACCUGGGACUGAACAUAACAAAGAACAGUUGAACUCAGAAGAACAAGGCAUCACAGUGACUCCUGGCAGACGAGAUUUCGGUGCAGUAUUGAUGGAGAUAGAGUAACCAAUCUCGAGCAAGCAUGGUCUCUGACGUCAUGAUCGGCUCAGUUAAUGGCACGAGUUUCCCCUCUUCACACAUUACUGCUCCACUACAACAAUAAAGUAUAGUGAAACUUCUCAUUAAUAUACUAAUUCAUUGAUGUGAAGUGUGUUUUAGUGUAAGAUUUUAGUGUGGGAGGGUUAAAAUAAUGGAAAUACAAAGAAAAACACCUCUAAGAUCCAUAAAAGGAACUGGUAUUCUUCACUAAAGCACUGUUGUUCAUCUAGAGCAGUGCUGAGACUGUUACAAGGUUGUGGUGAUAGUGAUGGUGAUUAGCCUAAAGGAAUUGCUGAUACAAAGGCCUUGCUCAGGAAUAAUGCUGAACCACCUGUAGCAUCUAGAAUCCAGAUCAUGAGUCUAGUUGUGAUUAUUGAGUGGUUUUAUUAUUGAAUAAUGUAUCCAACUUCAACUGUUUGCCUCUAUUUUAUUGUAAAUGAAUUACUAUACUCGCUGCAGUAAGAAAUGGCCAAUAGGGCGUGGCAACCAUUGGGGACUUCCCCAGUGUUGCCACAUCUCUAUAGAUCACUGGCAGUGUAAGUGCUCUGUUUGCCUUUUCUUCCAAAAAGUACCUAUUGAUGUUGUAAAUAACUGCCUUAGCUUGGUUAUGAAGGUGGCCAUAUAGCGAGCUUGAAGCAGAAGAAUGAUCUAUAGUGAGAACGUAUGUCUGCGACGCCAAGAAUUCCUCCAUUGACAGUGUGGUGAAGGAAGCGGCAAUGUCGCCAUAUGCCACUCACAUGCCACGUUUACGACUGGGAGAAACGAAACCUUAAUACAAAAAACAUCCUUUGAUUUUUACCUCUGAGGUGGUGUGGAACAAAAGUUAAAAAUCAUUCCAGAAAUAACUUGGGGAAUACACCAAUUUACAUAGAAAAACAUAGAAAGAAAAAGACAGAGGCAGAGGUUACGUAGGUUGAGCAGGGUUGGAGAAAGAAACAGACAGUGAUAAUGGCAACACUGUGGAAAUCCCCUUGCCAUGCCCUACUGGCCAUUUCUUGAUGUGGUGAGUAUAGUUCUCUUAAAGCAUGUGAAUCAUAAUAAUCCAGAAUUCAUGGUUAUCGAUGCCAUCAAAGUAAGUGAAGAGCAUAUCAAGAGUGUGUUUCACUUCUGACAUUUUUAGUUCUGUCACCACUUCCUCACUACUCAACUGAGACUUCCAAGCAACUGCUACUAUAAUAGCACGCACGCCACGGUAACUUAGCAGACUAAUGGUGAAGUACUGGACUCAACUGGAAAAACCCAGGAUUUUAAAACUUCGUAUUGGACAUUCUAGCUAAUGGAUUAUGCAUCCAGACUAGCAGAUUUUAUCCAUUGCAUCUGAUAUCUGAUAAAUGUAGUUUCAUCACUUUCAGCACCAAUAGACAAAACAAAUCUUGUAAGAAAGUUUGUGUAAAAAUAGUAUUAUACAUGAAUGAUAUCUGCCUCAUGGUGUUUAAGUAGAACUUUUUAAAAGUGAGGUAGGUAUUGCAAUAUGUCUAGGUGUCAUUCUUGCACCAGGACAAAAGUAAUGAACCAAAAUCUGUGAUAAUUCAAAUAUUCUUUCUCCUUUCUAUUUUACAUUUGCUUACCACACCAUUGCAAAGGAUGCAUCAGUUGUUUAAUAUCAGAUCUCUGAGGUUCCUUCACUGUAAUUCAUCCAGUAUCAAAGAUUGUUGUGGUGAGGACACAAAGAAAUAUACUAUGAGAUGAAUGUGCAACAAAAAAAAAUUCAUACCAAUGCAGAGACCACAAAAGCAAAGUACCCGGCAGUAAAGUGGCUAAUUCAUGCUUUGCUAGGUGUAGCUGAACUUACUUGAAUAUUCUUGAGGAUGAAUAUGCUAAACAUUAAUACUUAAAUACAGUAAACCCCAGUUAAAUCUGACCCAAAUAAGCCAGAUAUAGUAAACCAUGGUUAAUUAAGUCAUAGCCAUUGAAUAAAUUGGAUAUUUAUAUGAAUUUAUUUAUACAGUGGUGCUUUGCGGUAACGGACCUCGCAGUAAUAGAUUUCACUCGAUAUCCGACUGGUCAGAUACUAACCAGAUUUUUUGUGGACCGUAAUGACAUUUUUUCUCUUAUGAAUCCAUAGUUCCCACUUGGCUGGGCAGAUGAAUACACAUAAGAUACAAUAAACAAGCCCAAAAAGACCUGUGUUUAACUACUUCUGCAUGCUAGAUACCAUCAUAACCCAUUUUAGGGUCUACAAUUUAUGAAACUUGUAAUAAGGUGGAGAACUGCAACUGUUUGUCUGUGAGAAUUGCCAAGUGAUAGUUGUAGUGAAUUGGGGUCCCAGGUUAGUUGGACCCGUGACCUGUCGGUAUGAAUUGCUAGUUAGGCAUCUUUUUUUUUUUUAUGUUGUUGGCCAAGCGAGGAUAAUGACACUUCCACAGAGAGAGAGAGAGAGAGAGAGAGAGAGAGAGAGAGAGAGAGAGAGAGAGAGAGA